UACGAAGGGGGCUAGCGUUGUUCGGAAUUACUGGGCGUAAAGCGCACGUAGGCGGAUUUGUAAGUCAGGGGUGAAAUCCCGGGGCUCAACCUCGGAACUGCCUUUGAUACUGCAAGUCUCGAGUCCGAUAGAGGUGAGUGGAAUUCCUGGUGUAGAGGUGAAAUUCGUAGAUAUUAGGAAGAACACCAGUGGCGAAGGCGGCUCACUGGAUCGGUACUGACGCUGAGGUGCGAAAGCGUGGGGAGCAAACAGG
rnacentral:rRNA from 1 species